rnacentral:rRNA from 1 species
GACGUAGGGCGCGAGCGUUGUCCGGAUUUAUUGGGCGUAAAGAGCUCGUAGGCGGUUCAGUAAGUCGGGUGUGAAACCUCCAGGCUCAACCUGGAGACGCCACCCGAUACUGCUGUGACUAGAGUCCAGUAGGGGAGCGUGGAAUCCCUGGUGUAGCGGUGAAAUGCGCAGAUAUCAGGAGGAACACCAGCGGCGAAGGCGGCGCUCUGGGCUGGAACUGACGCUGAGGAGCGAAAGCGUGGGGAGCGAACAGG